rnacentral:tRNA from 2 species
GCCCGGCUGGCGGAAUUGGCAGACGCGCAUGACUUAGGAUCAUGUCUCGCAAGAGGUGGGGGUUCAAGUCCCUCGCCGGGCA